UACGUAGGCAGCAAGCGUUGUUCGGAGUUACUGGGCGUAAAGGGUGUGUAGGCGGUUGGAUAAGUGUGGUGUGAAAUCUCCCGGCUCAACUGGGAGGGUGCGCUACAAACUGUCUGACUAGAGUGCGGGAUGGGAAAGUGGAAUUCCUGGUGUAGCGGUGAAAUGCGUAGAUAUCAGGAGGAACACCGGUGGUGUAGACGGCUUUCUGGACCGUAACUGACGCUGAUACACGAAAGCGUGGGUAGCAAACAGG
rnacentral:rRNA from 1 species